rnacentral:rRNA from 1 species
CCUACGGGAGGCAGCAGUAGGGAAUCUUCCACAAUGGGCGCAAGCCUGAUGGAGCAACACCGCGUGAGUGAAGAAGGCUUUCGGGUUGUAAACUUCUUUUAAGAGGGAAGAGCAGAAGACGGUACCUCUUGAAUAAGCCACGGCUAACUACGUGCCAGCAGCCGCGGUAAUACGUAGGUGGCAAGCGUUGUCCGGAUUUACUGGGUGUAAAGGGCGUGUAGCCGGGCUGACAAGUCAGAUGUGAAAUUCCGGGGCUCAACCCCGGACCUGCAUUUGAAACUGUUGGUCUUGAGUAUCGGAGAGGCAGGCGGAAUUCCUAGUGUAGCGGUGAAAUGCGUAGAUAUUAGGAGGAACACCAGUGGCGAAGGCGGCCUGCUGGACGACAACUGACGGUGAGGCGCGAAAGCGUGGGGAGCAAACAGGAUUAGAUACCCUUGUAGUC